ensembl:lncRNA
ACAACAACCACAGCUGCUCCAACAACAACCACAGCUGCACCGACAACAACUACAGUUGCGACAACAACAACCACAACUGCAGCGACAACAACCACAUCUGCUCGAACAACAACUACAGCUGCUCCAACAACAACCACAGUUGCAGCGACAACAACCACAUCUGCAGCGACAACAACUACAGCUGUUCCAACAACAACCACAGCUGCUCCAACAACAACCACAUCUGCCCCAACAACAACCACAGCUGUUCCAACAACAAUCACAACUGCAGUGACAACAACCACAGCUGCUCCAACAACAACCACAACUGCAGCGACAACAACCACAGCUGCUCCAACAACAACCACAUCUGCCCCAACAACAACCACAGCUGUUCCAACAACAAUCACAACUGCAGUGACAACAACCACAGCUGUUCCAACAACAACCACAACUGCAGCGACAACAACCACAGCUGUUCCAACAACAAUCACAACUGCAGCGACAACAACCACAGCUGUUCCAACAACAAUCACAACUGCAGCGACAACAACCACAGCUGUUCCAACAACAAUCACAACUGCCGCGACAACAACUGCAGCUGCUUCAACAACAACCACAACCGCAGCGACAACAACAACAACACCAGCAACAACAACCACAACUGUUCCAACAACAACCAAAACUGCCGCGACAACAACUACAGCUGCUUCAACAACCAUAACUGCAGCGACAGCAACAACCACCUCCUCUGCUAUUCUCAACAACAUCAGCUUCCUUACAGUAGUUCUGGCUCUGUCGUCACAUGUACUCAGAUCAUGUUUUUAACAUUUCUUAAGUUCACAUCCUCCAAAUGAAGCAACAAACUGAAUACCUGUGACCAUUUGAAAUGUUUAAGUAACCAAAUGUUUAAUCAUAUAUUUAUUCUUAUUUAUUAUGGUUUUAUUUAUUUAUUUAUAUCUAUCAGAGAGAAGUUGUUAAAUGUUUUCCUGAUGUUUGUGUGUUCCAAACUUGUGUGAUCAGAGGACUGAUAUUAAAAAUAUAGUGAUGUCUACAAUCUCAACACUGAGCUUAUCAUAAAUAAAGUCUUUUUGCACUGA